rnacentral:rRNA from 1 species
UACGAAGGGGGCUAGCGUUGCUCGGAAUCACUGGGCGUAAAGCGCACGUAGGCGGAUCUUUAAGUCGGGGGUGAAAUCCUGGAGCUCAACUCCAGAACUGCCUUCGAUACUGUAGAUCUUGAGUCCGGGAGAGGUGAGUGGAACUGCGGGUGUAGAGGUGAAAUUCGUAGAUAUUCGCAAGAACACCAGUGGCGAAGGCGGCUCACUGGCCCGGUACUGACGCUGAGGUGCGAAAGCGUGGGGAGCAAACAGG